UAGAUUUGAAUGCUGUCCAGAGAGUUUACAGCCUGUACUUUUCAAAGAACAGUCAAAUUUUCUGAUUAACAUCUUCAGCAGAUAAUGAAGAUCAGCUGUAUUUCAGCUGGACAUGCAUGUGGGAGAGCCUCAACCCCGAUAAGCCCCGGCGGCAAUAAACUGCUGGCGGCCAAGGAGUGUGGGGCACGAUGCGAGCGCGGCGUGGCCAGCCCAGCGCGUGAGCCGCCGAGCAGGCACGGAUACGAGCGCAGGCCAACCGCAGAGGGCGGGCUACUCACUCACCCCUUCCAGGUAUGAGGUGGGGCCGGUGGACUCAAAAGCCGCACCAGAACGAAGAGGGCCGGGACCGGAAGUGCCAACUCAGCAGGCGGACACCGGCGUGAACCCACUGUGGUAGGGCACCAGGCAUGCCCAGAGGGAGGGGCUGGAGACACCCGUUCGGGGAAAGCCCCAGAGGGGAGAGUGGAACCCUGCUCGGGGUAGGAGCUUGGAUUCCAGAUAUGGCAACUCCAGGCAGGAGCUGCAUUUGCAUUCUCCCUUAACUAUUCCAGUGAGACUCUGAUUGAAAGGCCGAGCGGUGGAACGGUUCCUGCGUGGAGGCACGAGUGAGGGUGUAGGGGUGGUGGAGCCCUCAACUGCGCCAGGCCCAGCGGACACAAGGUCUCACUUUCAGACGUGCACGUGCCAGACGGUCCAGCUGAACCGGGGAAUCAUUAAAGACUUGGCAGGUGAAUUCGGUGUGUGUGGUCUGUACAGUGAGCAUCUUGCAUCACCAAGGAGACCUCUCGACUGGGCGGAACAACGUAACGAGACAACGUGUCCACAAUGCACUGCCCAUUAUCUACCCACUAAAUCUGUAUUGUUUGGCUUGUUUGUUUUCUUUGCCGUUGUAAUCUUCACAGCAUACUGUAGUGUUAUAUUUAGUACUACAUCUUGUGGCCAUUAGGAACCUGAAGUUACUUCAAAAUGUAGUAGUCCAUGUGUUAAGCAUCACUUUUCUUUGAUUGAAUAUCUGGAAUUCAAUGUCUAUUUUUUUCUAUCAAAGCCUGUGAUUUGGGUCAGGGCUAUGUGAGCUCCACUUACAGUUUCAUAGUUGAUAGGGUCAGAAGGGACAUGAGCAGAUCAUCAAGUCUUGUAUGCCUUUUGUGAAUAGAAGUGACUUUGAAGCAUAUACUUGAUUGGUACAGAAGAGAAAUUGACAGUGAGACAUUCAUUCCCUGUAAAGGCUCCUGGAUUUGGAAAAUUAACACCCAUUUUGGCUUGGUGUGGACCAGAUUAAUGUGCAACUUCAUCCAGC
rnacentral:lncRNA from 1 species